GAUGAACGCUGGCGGCGUGCCUAAUACAUGCAAGUCGAGCGAACGGACGAGAAGCUUGCUUCUCUGAUGUUAGCGGCGGACGGGUGAGUAACACGUGGAUAACCUACCUAUAAGACUGGGAUAACUUCGGGAAACCGGAGCUAAUACCGGAUAAUAUUUUGAACCGCAUGGUUCAAAAGUGAAAGACGGUCUUGCUGUCACUUAUAGAUGGAUCCGCGCUGCAUUAGCUAGUUGGUAAGGUAACGGCUUACCAAGGCAACGAUGCAUAGCCGACCUGAGAGAGUGAUGGGCAACAGGGGAGGUGGAACAGGUCCCGGCCUCCUGGGGGAGGAACCAGAAGGGAAUGUCCCGCAGGGGGGGAAAACCGGACGGAGCAGCGCGGCGUGGGAGAGAAGGGUUUUGGGAUCGAAAAACUUUUUUAUUGGGGAAAAACAUAUGUAUAAGUAAAUGUACACGUCUGGAGGUAACGUACUAAAAAAGCCCGGGCUAACUACGCG
rnacentral:rRNA from 1 species